rnacentral:rRNA from 1 species
UAGGAAAUAUUCGUCAUGGGGGAAACCCUGAACGAGCAAUGCCGCGUGAAGGAUGAAGGUCCUAUGGAUUGUAAACUUCUGUUGUAAGGGAAGAACGACCUAAAUAGGGAAAUGAUUUAGGAGUGACGGUACCUUUCGAGAAAGCUCCGGCUAACUAC